rnacentral:tRNA from 1 species
GAGGCGCUGGCGGGCGUGGAGUACCACGAGACGCUGCAACCGCUGCUGGCCCAGCUCCCCGAGCGGGAGCGGCGGAUCCUGCUGCUGCGGUUCU